rnacentral:rRNA from 1 species
UACGGAGGGUGCAAGCGUUAUCCGGAUUCACUGGGUUUAAAGGGUGCGUAGGAGGGCAGGUAAGUCAGUGGUGAAAUCCCCGAGCUUAACUUGGGAACUGCCGUUGAUACUAUCUGUCUUGAAUAUCGCGGAGGUGAGCGGAAUAUGUCAUGUAGCGGUGAAAUGCUUAGAUAUGACAUAGAACACCAAUUGCGAAGGCAGCUCGCUACACAAUAUUGACUCUGAGGCACGAAAGCGUGGGGAUCAAACAGG